rnacentral:rRNA from 1 species
UACGUAGGCAGCGAGCGUUGUUCGGAAUUACUGGGCGUAAAGAGUGUGUAGGCGGUGCUCUAAGUUCGGUGUGAAAUCUCCCGGCUUAACUGGGAGGGUGCGCCGGAAACUGGAGUGCUCGAGCGUGGGAGAGGAAAGCGGAAUUCCUGGUGUAGCGGUGAAAUUCGUAGAUAUCGGGAGGAACACCAGUGGCGAAGGCGGCGACCUGGGCCAAUAUUGACGCUGAGGUGCGAAAGCGUGGGGAGCAAACAGG